GAUGAACGCUAGCGGCAGGCUUAAUACAUGCAAGUCGUGGGGCAGCAGGACUGUAGCAAUACAGUUGCUGGCGACCGGCAAACGGGUGCGGAACACGUACGCAACUUACCCUAAACUGGGGGAAAGCCGGGGAAACCCCGGUAUAAUACCCCGAAAUAUAAUGGAGUGUCAUCACUUAAUUAUAAAAGCUCCUGCGGUCCGGGAUGGGCGUGCGCUUGAUUAGUUAGUUGGUUGAGGUAACGGCUCACCAACCCUACGAUCAGUAACUGGUGUGAUAGCACGACCAGUUACAAGGGAACUGAGACCCAGGCCCGAAUGCUACGGGAGGCAGCAGUAAGGAAUAUUGGGCAAGGGAGGCAACUCUGACCCAGCCAUGCCGGGUGGAGGAUGAAGGCCCUCUGGGUUGUAAACUUCUUUUAUAGGGGACGAAACCUGUGUAUUCUUACGCAGUUGACGGUACCCUAGGAAUAAGCACCGGCUAACUCCGUG
rnacentral:rRNA from 1 species